AUUGAACGCUGGCGGCAGGCCUAACACAUGCCAGUCGAGCGGAUGAAGGGAGCUUGCUCCUGGAUUCAGCGGCGGACGGGUGAGUAAUGCCUAGGAAUCUGCCUGGUAGUGGGGGAUAACGUCCGGAAACGGGCGCUAAUACCGCAUACGUCCUGAGGGAGAAAGUGGGGGAUCUUCGGACCUCACGCUAUCAGAUGAGCCUAGGUCGGAUUAGCUAGUUGGUGGGGUAAAGGCCUACCAAGGCGACGAUCCGUAACUGGUCUGAGAGGAUGAUCAGUCACACUGGAACUGAGACACGGUCCAGACUCCUACGGGAGGCAGCAGUGGGGAAUAUUGGACAAUGGGCGAAAGCCUGAUCCAGCCAUGCCGCGUGUGUGAAGAAGGUCUUCGGAUUGUAAAGCACUUUAAGUUGGGAGGAAGGGCAGUAAGUUAAUACCUUGCUGUAUUGACGUUACCAACAGAAUAAGCACCGGCUAACUUCGUG
rnacentral:rRNA from 1 species